CCUACGGGUGGCAGCAGUGGGGAAUAUUGCACAAUGGGGGAAACCCUGAUGCAGCAACGCCGCGUGAAGGAAGACGGUUUUCGGAUUGUAAACUUCUAUCAAUAGGGAAGAAAGAAAUGACGGUACUUAAAUAAGAAGCCUCGGCUAACUACGGGCCAGCAGCCGCGGUAAUACGUAGGGGGCAAGCGUUAUCCGGAAUUACUGGGUGUAAAGGGAGAGCAGGCGGCAAGGUAAGCGAUAUGUGAAAGCCUUGAGCUUAACUAAAGGAUUGCAUAACGAACUAUCUAGCUAGAGUACAGGAGAGGAAAGCGGAAUUCCUGGUGUAGCGGUGAAAUGCGUAGAUAUUAGGAAGAACACCAGUGGCGAAGGCAGCUUUCUGG
rnacentral:rRNA from 1 species